rnacentral:rRNA from 1 species
GACGUACUGCGCGAACGUUAUUCGGAAUCACUGGGCUUAAAGGGUGCGCAGGCGGCUCGUCAAGCCCGUGGUGAAAGGCCCCGGCCCAACCGGGGACGGUCUUCGGAGACUGACGAGCUCGGGCGAGCUAGGGGUCUGUGGAACUCCCGGUGGAGCGGUGAAAUGUGUUGAGAUCGGGAGGAACGCCGGUGGCGAAAGCGACAGACUGGGCUUGGCCGACGCUGCAGGCACGAAAGC